UACGUAGGGGGGCUAGCGUUGUCCGGAUUUAUUGGGCGUAAAGAGCGUGUAGGCGGCCAUGUAGGUCCGGUGUGAAAACUCGAGGCUUAACCUCGAGAUGUCAUCGGAAACCAUUUGGCUAGAGUCCGGAAGAGGAGAGUGGAAUUCCUGGUGUAGCGGUGAAAUGCGCAGAUAUCAGGAAGAACACCAAUGGCGAAAAGCAGCUCUCUGGGACGGUACUGACGCUGAGGAGCGAAAAGCGUGGGGAGCGAACAGG
rnacentral:rRNA from 1 species